AUGUGUGGAUUUCUUGCAGGUGAGCACAGGGUGGCAGCUGCUCCCUGCAGUGUUUUCCUGCUCGGGUCAGUCUCUCCUGGGGAAGCAAUGACAGAAACUAGGCCAGAUGGUGCGGGAGAGAGAGAGAGAGAGAGAGAGAGAGAGACAGAGCGGGCCGCUCUCAACCUGACCAACUGCACCACAUUCAAGGCUUUGAUCUAAAAUUGGCCUCUGUAGAAGACUUGUGUACAGUCAUUUUCAUAUGGGCUUUGAACAUAUUGAAAGGGCUCAUAGCUGCCGUCGCUUUUAUCCUCUGAUUCCUUUU
ensembl:lncRNA